GACGAACGCUGGCGGCGUGCUUAACACAUGCAAGUCGAACGGUGAAGCGAGUGCUUGCACUCGUGGAUAAGUGGCGAACGGGUGAGUAACACGUGAGUAACCUGCCCAUCGCUCUGGGGUAAGCACUGGAAAAGGGGUCUAAUACUGGAUACGACCAACCCCUGCAUGGGGGGGUGGGGGGAAGAUUUAUCGGUGAUGGAUGGACUCGCGGCCUAUCAGCUUGUUGGCGGGGUAAUGGCCCACCAAGGCUGCGACGGGUAGCCGGCCUGGGAGGGUGACCGGCCACACUGGGACUGAGACACGGCCCAGACUCCUACGGGAGGCAGCAGUGGGGAAUAUUGCACAAUGGGCGAAAGCCUGAUGCAGCGACGCCGCGUGAGGGAUGACGGCCUUCGGGUUGUAAACCUCUUUCAGCAGGGAAGAAGCGAAAGUGACGGUACCUGCAGAAGAAGCACCGGCUAACUACGUG
rnacentral:rRNA from 1 species